GAUGAAGAACGCAGCGAAAUGCGACAAGUAAUGUGAAUUGCAGAAUUCAGUGAAUCAUCGAAUCUUUGAACGCACAUUGCGCCCGCCAGUAUUCUGGCGGGCAUGCCUGUUCGAGCGUCAUUACAACCCUCAGGCCCCCGGGCCUGGCGUUGGGGAUCGGCGGAGCCCCCCGUGGGCACACGCCGUCCCCCAAAUGCAGUGGCGGUCCCGCCGCAGCUUCCAUCGCGUAGUAGCUAACACCUCGCGACUGGAGAGCGGCGCGGCCACGCCGUAAAACACCCAACUCUUCUGAAGUUGACCUCGAAUCAGGUAGGAAUACCCGCUGAACUUAAGCAUAUCAAUAAGCGGAGGA
rnacentral:misc_RNA from 1 species